rnacentral:rRNA from 1 species
UACGAAGGGGGCUAGCGUUGCUCGGAAUCACUGGGCGUAAAGGGUGCGUAGGCGGGUCUUUUAAGUCAGGGGUGAAAUCCUGGAGCUCAACUCCAGAACUGCCUUUGAUACUGACGAUCUUGAGUUCGGGAGAGGUGAGUGGAACUGCGAGUGUAGAGGUGAAAUUCGUAGAUAUUCGCAAGAACACCAGUGGCGAAGGCGGCU